rnacentral:rRNA from 1 species
AGCAGCCGCGGUAAUUCCAGCUCCAAUAGCGUAUAUUAAAGUUGUUGCAGUUAAAAAGCUCGUAGUUGAAUUUCGGGACUAAUAUGUCGGUCGUACUUUGUACGUACUAGCAUUAUUGGUUUCUCCCUUCUGACGAACCACGAUGUCAUUAAUUUGGUGUCUUGGGAAAUCAGAACUGUUACUUUGAAAAAUUAGAGUGUUUAAAGCAAGCUCGCGCUUGAAUACAUUAGCAUGGAAUAAUGAAAUAGGACGUUUGAUUCUAUUUUGUUGGUUUCUAGGAUCGACGUAAUGAUUAAUAGGGAUAGUUGGGGGCAUUAGUAUUCAAUUGUCAGAGGUGAAAUUCUUGGAUUUAUUGAAGACUAACUACUGCGAAAGCAUUUGCCAAGGAUGUUUUCAUUAAUCAAGAACGAAAGUUAGGGGAUCGAAGACGAUCAGAUACCGUCGUAGUCUUAACCAUAAACUAUGCCGACUAGGGAUCGGAUGAUGUUAAUUUUUAAUGACUCAUUCGGCGCCUUACGGG